rnacentral:piRNA from 1 species
UGGUGGCCUCUCCGCCUUUCUUGGCUC